GAUGAACGCUGGCGGCGUGCCUAAUACAUGCAAGUCGAGCGAACAGAUAAGGAGCUUGCUCCUUUGACGUUAGCGGCGGACGGGUGAGUAACACGUGGGUAACCUACCUAUAAGACUGGAACAACUCCGGGAAACCGGGGCUAAUGCCGGAUAACAUUUAGAACCGCAUGGUUCUAAAGUGAAAGAUGGUUUUGCUAUCACUUAUAGAUGGACCCGCGCCGUAUUAGCUAGUUGGUAAGGUAACGGCUUACCAAGGCAACGAUACGUAGCCGACCUGAGAGGGUGAUCGGCCACACUGGAACUGAGACACGGUCCAGACUCCUACGGGAGGCAGCAGUAGGGAAUCUUCCGCAAUGGGCGAAAGCCUGACGGAGCAACGCCGCGUGAGUGAUGAAGGUCUUCGGAUCGUAAAACUCUGUUAUUAGGGAAGAACAAAUGUGUAAGUAACUGUGCACGUCUUGACGGUACCUAAUCAGAAAGCCACGGCUAACUACGUG
rnacentral:rRNA from 1 species